UCUUGGCACAGAUCUUGGUGGUAGUAGCAAAUAAUCGAAUGAGACCUUGGAGGACUGAAGUGGAGAAGGGUUUCGUGUGAACAGUGGUUGAUCACGAGUUAGUCGGUCCUAAGUUCAAGGCGAAAGCCGAAAAUUUUCAAGUAAAAAAUCAGUGAGUAAUAUUGUCAAAUCUUUUAUGAUUUUUAAAUACUUGAAUAAUUUUGAACGAAAGGGAAUACGGUUCCAAUUCCGUAACCUGUUGAGUAUCCGUUUGUUAUUAAAUAUGGGCCUCGUGCUCAUCCUGGCAACAGGAACGACCAUAAAGAAGCCGUCGAGAGAUAUCGGAAGAGUUUUCUUUUCUGUUUUAUAGCCGUACUACCAUGGAAGUCUUUCGCAGAGAGAUAUGGUAGAUGGGCUAGAAGAGCAUGACAUAUACUGUUGUGUCGAUAUUUUCUCCUCGGACCUUGAAAAUUUAUGGUGGGGACACGCAAACUUCUCAACAGGCCGUACCAAUAUCCGCAGCUGGUCUCCAAGGUGAAGAGUCUCUAGUCGAUAGAAUAAUGUAGGUAAGGGAAGUCGGCAAAUUAGAUCCGUAACUUCGGGAUAAGGAUUGGCUCUGAAGAUUGAGAUAGUCGGGCUUGAUUGGGAAACAAUAACAUGGUUUAUGUGCUCGUUCUGGGUAAAUAGAGUUUCUAUCAUUUAUGGUAGUUACUUGUUUCCCCGGAUAGUUUAGUUACGUAGCCCAAUUGUGGAACUUUCUUGCUAAAAUUUUUAAGAAUACUAAUUGGGUUAAACCAGUUAGUUCUUAUUAAUUAUAACGAUUAUCAAUUAACAAUCAAUUCAGAACUGGCACGGACUUGGGGAAUCCGACUGUCUAAUUAAAACAAAGCAUUGUGAUGGCCCUAGCGGGUGUUGACACAAUGUGAUUUCUGCCCAGUGCUCUGAAUGUCAAAGUGAAGAAAUUCAAGUAAGCGCGAACCAAAUCCCUACGGUCUCUAGCCUAGGGGCCCAAUCUGAACAUAGUGCACAGGUUAACCCAAACAGUGGUUACCAAUGCACGAUAUGUGAAUCGUCUUUCCGUAGCAAAAGCGGAC
rnacentral:ncRNA from 1 species